GUUAAUUUUGUGGUAAUCGAUAAACGACUCCGAAAUGUUUUCGCAAAGCAUUUCCAACCCGGCUCAUGUAAUUCGGGUUUUAGGGUUUUGGCUCUGCUCUAUAAAUUAACAAGCAGCAUCUCCUUCCUCAAUAUCAACCGUUCCUUAAUAGGGUUUGGCAUUUGCCGAUCUAGAUCUAUAAAUUCAUCUCAUCCCAAGUCUCGCCCUUAACGCGAUAGCCUUGAUGCACGUGCUAGAUCUCUGCCGUUCGUGUUGCAGUUCUCCCUAAUUUUCACGGCCGAUCUGUGGUGUAACCAAGAGACUGCAUAAUGAUGGCACAACAAAAGCCAACACAAAAUAUUCAAAACACUGGCUUGUGUCUCGUAUAGCUUCUAUGGAUGUUAAGAUUAACAUGUUACACCAAUUUCUACUCUACAAAAUGUACAAAAUAUAUAACUAGUCAAAAGGUAUACUUGGAUAAAUGCCGAGUCAUCAGUCAUGCUUCAAUUUCUUUGCCACUAGUAUGAGUUUCAUCAUUUUUAGAAUCCUCUUCAUCUUCAUCAGCUAGUUUUGUUAGCUCUUCUUGAAUCAUAGUCUUUAGAGAUGCCUUUCUUGGGGUGAGAUCCGUAUCGAAUUGCUUAUCUGAACAAUGAUCAGCAAUUGUGUUGGUCAUAUAAAAUUAGCCUAAACUCUCAUUAUUAUUUUCAUGAAUUGCAUGAUUUCCUUCUA